AUUGAACGCUGGCGGCAUGCCUUACACAUGCAAGUCGAACGGCAGCGGGGACUUCGGUCCGCCGGCGAGUGGCGAACGGGUGAGUAAUGUAUCGGAACGUACCAUUGAGUGGGGGAUAACGUAGCGAAAGUUACGCUAAUACCGCAUAUUCUCUCCGGAGGAAAGCAGGGGACCGCAAGGCCUUGCGCUCUUUGAGCGGCCGAUAUCAGAUUAGCUAGUUGGUGAGGUAAAGGCUCACCAAGGCGACGAUCUGUAGCGGGUCUGAGAGGAUGAUCCGCCACACUGGAACUGAGACACGGUCCAGACUCCUACGGGAGGCAGCAGUGGGGAAUUUUGGACAAUGGGGGCAACCCUGAUCCAGCCAUGCCGCGUGAGUGAAGAAGGCCUUCGGGUUGUAAAGCUCUUUCGGCCGGGAAAAAAUCGCAUGGGCUAAUACCCUGUGUGGAUGAUGGUACCGGAAUAAGAAGCACCGGCUAACUACGUGCCAGCCGCCGCAGUAAUAC
rnacentral:rRNA from 1 species